rnacentral:rRNA from 1 species
UCCCUCAGUAACGGCGAGCGAACAGGGAAGAGUCCAGCGCCGAAUCCCGCCUCCGCGAGGGGGCCGGGAAAUGUGGCGUUUGGGAGUGAGCGUGCCGGAGGUCGGCUCUGCAGCAAGUCCCCCUGACCGGGGCUCUUUCCCAGAGUGGGUGCGAGGCCCAUAGCUGCUAGGCCGCCUUCGGAUGCGAUCUCCUCGGAGUCGGGUUGCUUGGGAGUGCAGCCCUAAGCGGGUGGUAAACUCCACCUAAGACUAAAUACCGCCGUGAGACCGAUAGCAAACAAGUACCGUGAGGGAAAGUUGCAAAGAACUUUGAAGAGAGAGUUCAAGAGUACGUGAAACUGCUCAGAGGUAAACGGGUGGGCCCUCGAAAUCCUGCGGCGGGAGGAUUCAGUCGAGAGGCGCAGGUGCGGAGCCGGAGCACGUGAAGAAAGGGCACCCGACGACAGGGCCUCUCCGGAGCCGUGCACGAGUGCCGAUCGACGCAUUUUAUCCCGCCCGAAGGACGUCGCAACCGGUUGGGGAACGGCCAUAAGGUCGGACAGUGGCAGGUGGCCGGUGGAUCCCUCGCCUCACGAGGUGAACCGUCGGUUGUUAGCCGGUCCGUCGCACGGCGCGUGACCCGACCGUGGUGUCGCGAGGCCCGGACGGGCUUCUCCGCCUCCUCCCUUAAUGGGAGCGAGUGGACGUGGCAGCAGGCCCGAGCUACUAGCUUCGCUCGCACCGGCAGCGCCCGGUGGAAUCGCGAGGCGUUCGGACUGCGUUGGCCGCGCGAUACUCGUGGGAGAGUUGGCGGUUGGCGGCGAGUAGAUCGGUCACCCACCCGACCCGUCUUGAAACACGGACCAAGGAGUCUAACAUGUGUGCGAGUCAAUGGGUCUCGAAUAAGCCCAGAGGCGCAACGAAGGUAAAGGUCCGCUCAGGGACCGGCUGGGAUCCCCUCUCCUUCGCGGGAGGCGGCGCACCAGCCACCCCUCCGUUCCGAUACAUCGGAUGGGGGGAGUGUGAGCACACACGUUGGGACCCGAAAGAUGGUGAACUAUGCUCGGGCAGGACGAGGCCAGAGGAAACUCUGGUGGAGGUCCGCAGCGGUUCUGACGUGCAAAUCGAUCGUCAGACCCGAGUAUAGGGGCGAAAGGCUAAUCGAAUCAUCUAGUAGCUGGUCCCUCCGAAGUUUCCCUCAGGAUAGCUGGCGCUCGGAGAAAUCAGUCUCAUCCGGUAAAGCGAAUGAUUAGAGGCCUUGGGGCCGAAACGACCUCAACCUAUUCUCAAACUUUAAAUGGGUGAGAAGUCCGCCUCGCAUGACCGGAGGCCGGACGUUCUGGAUGAGAGUGCCCAGUGGGCCACUUUUGGUAAGCAGAACUGGCGCUGUGGGAUGAACCAAACGCCGGGUUAAGGCGCCCGAUGCGAGACGCUCAUGAGACCCCAGGAAAGGUGUUGGUUGCUCUAGACAGCAGGACGGUGGUCAUGGAAGUCGAAACCCGCUAAGGAGUGUGUAACAACUCACCUGCCGAAGCAACUAGCCCUGAAAAUGGAUGGCGCUCCAGCGUCGAGCCUAUACCCGGCCGCCGCGGCAGAGCUCCUCUCGAGGAGACUUACGCCGCGGUGAGUAGGAGGGUCGCAUCGGCGAGCGUUGAAGGUGCCGGGCGUGAGCCCGCCUGGAGCCGCCGAUGGUGCAGAUCUUGGUGGUAGUAGCAAAUACUCAAGUGAGAACCUUGAGGACUGAAGGUGGAGAAGGGUUCCAUGUGAACAGCAGUUGAACAUGGGUCAGUCGGUCCUAAGGGAUCGGAGAAAUCCGUUCCGAAGCGGGACAUUGCCAAGAGUGCGGAAUUCCGCGUGAUUUCGCUCGUCCCGCUCACGAUCGACAGGGAAUGGGGUCAAUAUUCCCCAACCCGGACACGGAGAUAGGGCCCUCGGGCUCAAGUGCGGUAACGCAACCGAACUCGGAGACGGCGACGGAGACCCGGGGAAGAGUUAUCUUUUCUUUGUAAGGGUUCGUGUCCCUGGAAUCGGUUCAUCCGGAGAUAGGGACGCUGUACCCGUAAAAGCUCCGCGGCUCUUGCGGAGUCCGGUGCGCCUCUGCCGCCCCUUGCAAAUCCGAGGGAGAGAGUGUGAUUUUCGUGCCGGACCGUACCCAUAUCCGCAGCA